UACAGAGGUCCCAAGCGUUGUUCGGAUUCACUGGGCGUAAAGGGUGCGUAGGUGGCCAGGUAAGUUUGGUGUGAAAGCUCGGAGCUUAACUCCGAAAAAUCAUUGAAUACUAUCUGGCUGGAGGGUCGGAGGGGAGACUGGAAUUCUCGGUGUAGCAGUGAAAUGCGUAGAUAUCGAGAGGAACACCAGUGGCGAAGGCGAGUCUCUGGACGACUCCUGACACUGAGGCACGAAAGCUAGGGGAGCAAACAGG
rnacentral:rRNA from 1 species